AGAAAAAUUGUAAACCAUACGUUUGUGUUUUUCCAUACAACUCAACUAUAACAAUCCAAAACUCUGUUUCACUCUCUCUAUGCUAGCUUCCUCUGCCUCCCAUCACCUUAAACAGAUAUGGGGUUCCUAUACUUCAUCUGCACCUUCAUAUUUUCAGUACUCUCUCUUUUCCUAGCCUUCUUCUCUUUCCUCACACUCAGAAUCUUCAGAGGCAAAUCCAUCGGAGACCGAAACUAUGCACCAGUGAAAGGCACAGUCUUUCACCAGCUCUACUACUACAAAAAACUCUAUGACUACCAAACCCGAGUGGCCAGAGGAACCCCAACUCACCGGAUUCUGGCUCCGGACCUGAGUUUCAUAUACACAACCGACUCAAGAAACAUCGAACAUGUUGUCAAUACCAACUUUGCACAUUAUUCAAAAGGCGUGAUAAGUCAGGAAAUCAUGUGUGAUGUUUUUGGGAAAGGGAUAUUUAAUGUUGAUGGAGAAAAGUGGAAACACCAGAGGAAGCUUGCAAGCUAUGAGUUCUCAACCAGGGUUCUUAGAGAUUUCAGCUGUUCUGUGUUUAGAAGAAGUGCUGCAAAAUUGGUGAAAUUUUUUUUUGAGUUUUCGGAUUCAAACGGGAUUUUUGAUAUGCAGGACUUGCUUAUGAGGUGUACCAUGGAUUCCAUAUUCAAAGUUGGGUUUGGAGUAGAACUAAAUUGCUUGGAAGGGUCAAGCAAAGAAGGGAUAGAAUUCAUGAAGGCCUUUGAUGAGUCGACUGCUCUAACCUCUUGGCGCUUUGUUGAUCCCCUCUGGAAAUUGAAAAGGUUUCUCAACAUUGGUUCUGAGGCCACCCUUAAAAAGUACGUCAAAGUCAUACGUGAUUUUGUGCACCAACUUAUCAAGAGCAAGAGGGAAUUGCUAGCUGGCCAGAAACAUGGUGAUGAUAAGGAGGACAUUGUCUCACGGUUUCUGUUGGAGAGUGAAAAGAAUCCAGAGGAGAUGAAAGAUAAAUAUCUAAGUGAUAUAAUUCUGAAUUUUAUGAUUGCUGGGAAAGAUACAAGUGCAAAUACACUAUCAUGGUUCUUCUACAUGCUCAGCAAGAACCCUCUAAUACAGGAAAAAGCUUCACAAGAAGUUAGGGAUGUUGUCGGUCUGAAUCAUGAAGCUAAUGUCGAUGAAUUUGUGGCCAGUAUAACUGAUGCAACUCUUGAACAAAUGCAUUAUCUUCAUGCAACACUAACAGAGACCUUGAGGCUAUACCCUGCAGUUCCUGUGGAUGGUAGACAUGCAAUGAUAGAUGACAUUCUUCCUGAUGGUUUUAAAGUGAAAAAAGGAGAUGGAGUAUACUAUAUGGCCUAUGCCAUGGGCAGGAUGCCUUAUAUUUGGGGAAAAGAUGCAGAGGAUUUCCGACCUGAAAGAUGGCUCAAGGAUGGAAUUUUCCAGGCUGAAUCACCUUUCAAAUUUGUCGCUUUUUAUGCUGGUCCUCGGAUCUGUCUAGGGAAGGACUUUGCCUACCGGCAGAUGAAGAUAGUAGCAAUGGCUCUUCUUUACUUCUUCCGCUUCAAAUUGGCCGAUGAAGGAAAAGAAGUGAACUACAGGACCACGUUCACCCUUCACAUUGAUGGCAGUCUCCCCAUGCUUGCAGUUCGAAGGACAAUGGACUCAUACAAGUAAAUCGAUCGCAUUUGUACAGUUGAAUCUCACCUGUAUUCUGAGAUGUAGACAAUCUACAAUGCGAAGGUGGAUUAGGGUAAUUAGCUGUUUUUGGUUGUUUUGGUGAACACGUUAGCUAACCAUGAUAAGAAGGAAAAACAGACGGCAAAGGGAGAUAACCGAGAGACGCAAGAAUAUUUGGUAGAGUCUUGCAUGUUCGCUUGAGAUUGAGUCCUCACAAAGAGUCAAAACACUUGAUCCAUGUAUAAGUGUUUGUGAUCAUAGUUUCAUAUGA